UACGUAGGGGGCAAGCGUUGUCCGGAUUUAUUGGGCGUAAAGAGCGUGUAGGCGGCUUGGUAGGUCCGCUGUGAAAACUCGAGGCUCAACCUCGAGAUGUCGGCGGAAACCGUCUGGCUAGAGUCCGGAAGAGGAGAAUGGAAUUCCUGGUGUAGCGGUGAAAUGCGCAGAUAUCAGGAAGAACAUCCGUGGCUAAGGCGGUUCUCUAGUACGGUACUGACGCUGAGACGCGAAAGCGUGGGGAGCGAACAGG
rnacentral:rRNA from 1 species